rnacentral:rRNA from 1 species
GACGAACGCUGGCGGCGUGCUUAACACAUGCAAGUCGAACGGAAAGUCCCCUUUGGGUGUACUCGAGUGGCGAACGGGUUAGUAACACGUGAGUAACCUGCCCUUGACUUCGGGAUAACUUCAGGAAACUGGGGCUAAUACCGGAUAGGAAUCCUUUCUGCAUGUUGGGGGUUGGAAAGCUUCGGCGGUUUUGGAUGGACUCGCGGCUUAUCAGCUUGUUGGUUGGGUAGUGGCUUACCAAGGCUUUGACGGGUAGCCGGCCUGAGAGGGCGACCGGACAAAUUGGGCCUGAGAUACGGCACAGACUCCUACGGGAGGCAGCAGUGGGGAAUAUUGCACAAUGGGAGGAAGCCUGAUGCAGCAACGCCGCGUGCGGGAUAACGGCCAUCGGGUUGUAAACCGCUUUCAGCAGGGGCGAAGCUUGUGGUGACGGUACCUGCAGAAGAAGCACCGGCUAACUACGU